GUAAAAGAAGAACGUCCAGAAAAAGUACCAGAUUUAAAAUUACUGGUGGAGAAGAAAUUUUUGGCUUUACAGGAUAAGAACUCUGACGCCGACUUUAAAGAGAAUGAAAAGUUCGUGCAGUUUAAGCAGCAGCUGCGGGAGCUGAAGAAGCAAUGUAAGUCAGCCGCUUUGCUUUGGCCUCUUGAGAUGAGGGGCCUGGCUGUGAGCAGCCCAGGAACACGGUUCUGCAGUGUCCGCUUCUCUGCUUGCUCCAUCGCUGCCUGAAUGGCUUGUCUUGUUGCAGUGUCGUGUUUGUCUAAUACUGGUUCCAGUUGCUUGUCCGUUCCUGAGAGCCAACGGUUUCCACAAAGUGUCUCACUGCUGGGGAUGGGAACUGCGAAAACAAAAUAAAACUAAAAACCAUUUUAUUAAGAUAACAAUGGUAAUUCUUUCAAAAUAUAAACUGCUGUGCCAAGCUCUAAAGUACAUUUAUUCCCAUUUGCUGCUGUAGGGCAGCAUUGGUGAGGCUUCCGCAGGGAUUCCUCCCGAAUAGGAUCAAAGUCCCUCUGAUGCUGUACCCUGAGGUACUGUAGAUUCCAUAUGAUUUUUAAAUUGGCUUAAAUGACUAUUAUAGUUAGGGUUUUCACUUGAAAAUGAGAGUGAGGAAAAUAGCUCAUCACACACACGCGCGCACACACACCCCUUACAGAGGUGGUUUUUGUUGUUGAUUUUGGUUUUGUCUUGGCAGCUGUUUAG
rnacentral:lncRNA from 1 species